GCCAGCAUGGCAUAGUGAUUUGAGCAUUGGACUAUGAUUCUGGAGACUAGGGUUCAAUUCCCUACUUGGCC